rnacentral:lncRNA from 1 species
CCGAAGGCCGAUAGCUCGUUUAUCAACUGAGCGAACAUUUAUUUGUAAGGGCUCGAUUUAAUUCAACACAUACGUAACAUAUCCCCAUAUUGGGAUGUUUUUCGAGUAUUCGCUGGAAUUUUACAGCAAGCUCAUUCAUUACCAAAUCACGUACCUUCGGGAUUUAACCGGAUAUAGCUCCUCGUUCAAAUGCCUUCGGGACAUAGCCCGGUUUUAGUAACUCACACCAUGCCUUCGGGACGUAACCCGGAUUUAACAACUCGCACGAAUGCCUUCGGGACUUAACCCGGCUUUAAUAACUCGCACGAAUGCCCUCGGGACUUAACCCGGAUUUAGUAUCUCGCACAAAGGCC